CCCCUUCGAACGCCGAAUCCUCCCUUCGGGGGGAACGGGGGAACCAGGAUUUCGGGGCGAAGCGCGCCAGCGCCGGGGACCUUCACCCUCGAGCCCGUCAGCUAACCUCGCAGGCGAGGUGAGGGACGCG
rfam:Ignavibacteria bacterium 13_1_40CM_2_61_4 13_1_40cm_2_scaffold_298056, whole genome shotgun sequence.